rnacentral:rRNA from 1 species
GGUCAAGCGAAUAAGCGCACACGGUGGAUGCCUUGGCGGUCAGAGGCGAUGAAGGACGUGGCAGCCUGCGAAAAGUAUCGGGGAGCUGGCAACAAGCUUUGAUCCGGUAAUGUCCGAAUGGGGAAACCCACCCGCUUGCGGGUAUCCUGCAGUGAAUACAUAGCUGCUGGAAGCGAACCUGGUGAACUGAAAUAUCUAAGUAACCAGAGGAAAAGAAAUCAACCGAGAUUCCGUAAGUAGCGACGAGCGAACGCGGACUAGCCCUUAAGCUGAUUUGGUUCUAGGAAAACGCUCUGGAAAGAGCGGCCAUAGAAGGUGAUAGCCCUGUAUCUGAAAGGGCCAUUUCAGUGAAGACGAGUAGGGCGGGGCACGUGAAACCCUGUCUGAACAUGGGGGGACCAUCCUCCAAGGCUAAAUACUACUGACCGACCGAUAGUGAACCAGUACCGUGAGGGAAAGGCGAAAAGAACCCCGGAGAGGGGAGUGAAAUAGAACCUGAAACCGUGUGCGUACAAGCAGUAGGAGCUCCGCAAGGAGUGACUGCGUACCUUUUGUAUAAUGGGUCAGCGACUUACUGUUCGUGGCAAGCUUAACCGUAUAGGGGAGGCGAAGGGAAACCGAGUCUGAUAAGGGCGCAUAGUCGCGGGCAGUAGACCCGAAACCGGGUGAUCUAGUCAUGCCCAGGGUGAAGGUGCGGUAACACGCACUGGAGGCCCGAACCCACUCCCGUUGCAAAGGUAGGGGAUGAGGUGUGAUUAGGAGUGAAAAGCUAAUCGAACCCGGAGAUAGCUGGUUCUCCUCGAAAGCUAUUUAGGUAGCGCCUCAUAUGUAUCCUCUCGGGGGUAGAGCACUGUUAUGGCUAGGGGGUCAUCGCGACUUACCAAACCAUUGCAAACUCCGAAUACCGAGACGGACUGUAUGGGAGACACACGGCGGGUGCUAACGUCCGUCGUGAAAAGGGAAACAACCCAGACCCACAGCUAAGGUCCCAAAUUUUGUGCUAAGUGGAAAACCAUGUGGAAAGGCACAGACAGCCAGGAGGUUGGCUUAGAAGCAGCCACCCUUUAAAGAAAGCGUAAUAGCUCACUGGUCGAGUCGGUCUGCGGGGAAGAUUUAACGGGGCUAAGCACAGAACCGAAGCUUGGGGUGCAUAACUUUGUUAUGCGCGGUAGAGGAGCGUUCCGUAAGCCGUUGAAGGUGGAUUGAGAAGUCUGCUGGAGGUAUCGGAAGUGCGAAUGCUGACAUGAGUAACGAUAAUGCGGGUGAAAAACCCGCACGCCGAAAGCCCAAGGUUUCCUUGCGCAACGUUAAUCGGCGCAGGGUGAGUCGGCCCCUAAGGCGAGGACGAAAGUCGUAGUCGAUGGGAAGCAGGUUAAUAUUCCUGCACCUCGCGUAAGUGCGAUGGAGGGACGGAGAAGGUUAGGUGUACCAGGCGUUGGUUGUCCUGGGGAAAGGCGGUAGGUUUGGAUCUUUGGCAAAUCCGGGAUCCUCUAAGACCGAGCACCGAGACGAGCCUUUAUGGCAAAGUCACUGAUACCACGCUUCCAGGAAAAGCUCCUAAGCUUCAGCUUACGCAGACCGUACCGUAAACCGACACAGGUGGGUAGGAUGAGAAUUCUCAGGCGCUUGAGAGAACUCGGGUGAAGGAACUAGGCAACAUGGCACCGUAACUUCGGGAGAAGGUGCACCCUUUUUGGUGGCUCGUGCGAGCUAUAGCUGAAGAGGGUCGCAGUAACCAGGCCGCUGCGACUGUUUAUCAAAAACACAGCACUCUGCAAACACGAAAGUGGACGUAUAGGGUGUGACGCCUGCCCGGUGCUGGAAGGUUAAUUGAUGGGGUCAGCCGCAAGGCGAAGCUCUUGAUCGAAGCCCCAGUAAACGGCGGCCGUAACUAUAACGGUCCUAAGGUAGCGAAAUUCCUUGUCGGGUAAGUUCCGACCUGCACGAAUGGCGUAACGACAGCGGCGCUGUCUCCACCCGAGACUCAGUGAAAUUGAAAUCGCUGUGAAGAUGCAGCGUUCCCGUGGCAAGACGGAAAGACCCCGUGAACCUUUACUAUAGCUUUACACUGAACGUUGAGUUCGUCUGUGUAGGAUAGGUGGGAGGCUAUGAAACCAUGGCGCUAGCUGUGGUGGAGCCAUCCUUGAAAUACCACCCUGUCGUGCUUGACGUUCUAACCUGGGCCCAUUAUCUGGGUCGGGGACCGUGUAUGGUGGGUAGUUUGACUGGGGCGGUCUCCUCCUAAAGAGUAACGGAGGAGCUCGAAGGUACGCUCAGCGCGGUCGGACAUCGCGCACUGUGUGCAAAGGCAUAAGCGUGCUUGACUGCAAGAUCGACGGAUCAAGCAGGUAGGAAACUAGGACUUAGUGAUCCGGUGGUUCUGUAUGGAAGGGCCAUCGCUCAACGGAUAAAAGGUACUCCGGGGAUAACAGGCUGAUACCGCCCAAGAGUUCAUAUCGACGGCGGUGUUUGGCACCUCGAUGUCGGCUCAUCACAUCCUGGGGCUGUAGUCGGUCCCAAGGGUAUGGCUGUUCGCCAUUUAAAGUGGUACGCGAGCUGGGUUCAGAACGUCGUGAGACAGUUCGGUCCCUAUCUGCCAUGGGCGUUGGAGAUUUGAGAGGGGCUGCUCCUAGUACGAGAGGACCGGAGUGGACGAACCUCUGGUGUUCCGGUUGUCACGCCAGUGGCAUUGCCGGGUAGCUAUGUUCGGAAGCGAUAACCGCUGAAAGCAUCUAAGCGGGAAGCGCGCCUCAAGAUGAGAUCUCCCGGGGCACAAGCCCCCUGAAGGAACCAUGUAGACUACGUGGUUGAUAGGUCAGGUGUGUAAGUACAGCAAUGUAUUGAGCUAACUGAUACUAAUGAUCCGUGCGGCUUGACCAU